rnacentral:rRNA from 1 species
GUUUAAAGUCUUGUUAAUAAUUUUUGGGUUAGAUAUUUUUAAAUGAAAAAUAAUUUUUAAUUAUAGUUAAGUAAUUUUUAGUGAAUUUUUUGAUAACUAUAGAAAAUAAGUACUGUAAAGGAAAGAUUAUAAUAAAAAAAAGUAAAGUAUAGAUGAAAAUUUAGUACCUUGUGUAUCAGGGAUGAUUAAUAUAAUUAAAGUAAUAUUUAAAUCUCGAAAUAAAAAUAGCUAAUUUUAUAGUAAAGUUUUUAUUGGAUAUAAAUUUUAAAUAUAGAAUUAAAGAUGAAAUGUUAGUCGAGUUUUAUUAUAUCUAGUUUUUUAAAAAGAAAAUUUAAUUUAAUUUUUAUAUUAAUUAUAAUAUAAAUAGAUAAAAUAAAAAGGAUAAGCUUUUUAUUAUAGAAGACGAAAUAGUUAAUAUAUGAAAAUAAUCUAAGAUCUAAGCUUAAAAAUAGCUAUGUUAAUAAAGUGUUUUAAUUAAUUUUGAGUAAUAAAAAAUUGUAUUGAACUUUUCUUUUAUAUUAAAAAUUUAUUUAAAAUAACGAAUAAUAAGAUAAAAUGAUUUUAUUAGUAUAAGUUUAUUGUAAGAAUAUAAGGAUAGAAUAUUUAUUAAAAUUAUUAAGAACAAUAGUAAAUUAAAGGAAUUCGGCAAAAGUUUUCUUGCCUGUUUAUCAAAAACAUGUCUAUUUGGAGAUAUAAAAAGUCUGGCCUGCCCACUGAUUAAAGUUAAUAAUUUAAGGGCCGCGGUAUUAUGACCGUGCAAAGGUAGCAUAAUCAUUAGGUUUUUAAAUGAGAUCUUGUAUGAAUGGUUUGACAAAGGAAAAACUGUCUUUAAAUUAAUAUUUGAAUUUAACUUUUAAGUGAGAAGGCUUAAAUAUUUUAGGGGGACGAUAAGACCCUAUAAAGCUUUAUAUUAUAAUUGUAUUUAAUUGAAUUUAUAUAUAAAAAUUUUAUAUAAUUAUUUAUUUUGUUGGGGAGACAUGAGUAAAAAUUAUAUUAACUGCUUAAAAAAUAUACAUAUAUUAGUGAAGAGAGAGAGAGUUAUAGAUCCUAUUUAUAGAUUUAAAGAUUAAGUUACUUUAGGGAUAACAGUGUAAUUCUUUUUGAGAGUUCUUAUCGAAAAAAGAGUUUACAACCUCGAUGUUGAAUUAAAAUACCUAUAUAAUGCAGUUGUUAUAUAAGGCGGUCUGUUCGACCU